rnacentral:rRNA from 1 species
GAUGAACGCUGGCGGUAUGCCUAACACAUGCAAGUCGUACGAGAGUUUUUAACUCUAGUGGCGGACGGGUGAGUAACACGUGAGAAUUUGCCUUUAGGAGGGGGACAACAAUUGGAAACGAAUGCUAAUACCCCAUAUGCUUUCGAGUGAAAUGGAUUUUAUCCGCCUAGAGAGAAGCUCGCGGCUGAUUAGCUUGUUGGUAAGGUAAGAGCUUACCAAGGCGACGAUCAGUAUCUGGUUUGAGAGGACGAUCAGACACACUGGAACUGAGACACGGUCCAGACUCCUACGGGAGGCAGCAGUGGGGAAUUUUCCGUCAAUGGGCGAAAGCCUGACGGAGCAAUACCGCGUGAGGGAGAAUGCCUAUGGGUUGUAAACCUCUUUUUUCUAGGGAGGAAUAAAAUAGACGUGUACCUGAAGAAUAAGCAUCGGCUAACUCCGUG